GGCCCUGUGGCGCAAUGGUUAGCGCAUCGGACUUCUAUGAGUAGAGUCUGCCAUCCGAAGGCUGUGGGUAUGUAGAAAUCUUCGCCUCAUGGUUGGAUUUUGUGUUGACUCAAAGAUCAGGUUCGAAUCCCACCAGGGUCA